rnacentral:misc_RNA from 1 species
GUUUGCCUUCUGCACCUCUGUAAAAUCUGAAGAAAGGUAAAACAUGUAUCCUAAGAGCAUGACACAUGGAUUUGAGUUCUUCAUAGUUUACUUUGAGAAAAAUGGCAUCUGGGUUUGAUUCAGCCAGUUGACAUAUCUUAGGGUGUAAAGUUCUGCAACCUCCACAACCAGGGGAAUAAAAGUCAAUUAUAACUAAUCUGUCACCAGCAUUUAACAAUGAAUCAGCUAGUUCUUUGGCUGAAUGAAUUUCUACCAUGUUAGGUUUAAGGGUUUUGUCCCACCAUCUUAAAGCUUUGCUUACACAAAUAGAAGCUUGUGCACUGAUUGAAAUGGGUCUUGGAGGUUUAACAUUCAAAUGGCUAAAACCAAUCUUCUGAUUUGAUACAUCCAAAGAUUUGCCCAUAAAUUCAUUUGGUGUCAAAUCUGUAACUUGCAGAGCCCCAAUAGAAGAGUUAACAGAAAACCCAGUUUUCAAUAAACAAGCCAUUUUUUGUUCUCCCUUGAAGACUAAUCAAGAAUAUAGCAUCCAACAAACAAACUCACACCAAACCCACCUACCCUUUUGGAUCA